rnacentral:rRNA from 1 species
UACGUAGGGCGCAAGCGUUGUCCGGAUUUACUGGGCGUAAAGCGCGCGCAGGCGGCACUGUAAGUAAGGUGUGAAAUAUCCCUGCUCAACGGGGAGGGUGCACUUUAGACUGCAGAGCUAGAGGACGGUAGAGGGGGGUGGAAUUGCUGGUGUAGCGGUGAAAUGCGUAGAGAUCAGCAGGAACACCCGUGGCGAAGGCGGCCCCCUGGGCCGAACCUGACGCUGAGGCGCGAAGGCUAGGGGAGCGAACGGG